rnacentral:lncRNA from 1 species
AAAGAUUUAUAAAUAUGAUAUACUUGUGUUUUCAACUUCAUGUUUCAAAGUUAUAAAAAACACAAGAUAAAUUCAAAAGAUAAAUCGUCAUUUGUCAAUCAAAUGCAAUAGGGAAGGGGAGGUGCAACAGCAACAACAGCAACAACAAUAAGAGCUUCAAACUAGAUGAUUUUCCACCACCUAACCAAACAAAGAGAAAAAAAAUUGACAUGAUCUACUAAAGGCUAAACUCAAUCAUUAACAUGAGCCAAGAGCAAAAGCAAACACAUGUAUUGCCUACCCUGGUUUGAUAAGACUCGUUUUCACAAGAUAUAAAACCACACUGGUUUCUCCAUAACCAGCUUACGUGCAUUAAAGAAUUCUUCUGUCUUUUACUUAUGCAGAAGACCACACGAGCAUUCAGCUGCAUUAACGAUAGAGAAGUAGUCGUGAUCAGAUAUUUAUACAAUUAACCCCAAAAGCUUUGCAUGCUAAAAUUGCCUACCCUUUAUGAACUCGUUCCAGCAUUUGUUCCUGCGGUCAGAUCUCCUAGUCCAGCAUUUGUUUUCACUUUCACCGAUCCAUCUGAGUCUAACACAUAACACAAAUCACUAGUCCAUCAAAUCAGUAGCUAAUAGUGAAAACCCAUAACACAAAUCACACAUAAACAGUUCAAAGAUGACAAAAUCAAACCUCGAGAGAUGACGAAAUCAGAGACAACGAAGAAGAAUCGAAGAAGAGCGAAGAAGAACCGAAGAAAAGUGAAGAAGAAUCGAAGAAGGAGAAGGAAAAUCGAAGAAGGAGAAGAAGAAUCGCAGGAGAAGAAGAAGAAUCGCAGGAGACGGAAAGAAAAAA